UGGGGAAUUUUGCGCAAUGGGGGAAACCCUGACGCAGCGACACCGCGUGAGCGAAGAAGCCCUUUGGGGUGUAAAGCUCUGUCGGCUGGGAAGAAAAAAAUGACGGUACCAGCAGAGGAAGCAUCGGCUAACUACGUGCCAGCAGCCGCGGUAAGACGUAGGAUGCAAGCGUUGUCCGGAUUCAUUGGGCGUAAAGAGUUCGUAGGCGGUUUGCUAAGUCUGGAGUUAAAGAUCAGGGCUCAACCCUGGGACUGCUUUGGAUACUGGCAGACUGGAGUGCAGUAGGGGCGAGUGGAAUUUCCAGUGUAGCGGUGAAAUGCGUAGAUAUUGGAAAGAACACCGGUGGCGUAGGCGGCUCGCUGGGCUGUAACUGACGCUGAGGAACGAAAGCUAGGGUAGCGAAUGGG
rnacentral:rRNA from 1 species